ACUCAUACCUGGCAGGGGAGAUACCAUUAUUGUAAAAGUGGUUUUCCCAGGGUAAGGCUCAUCUAUUGCACUUUGGAUGUGCUGAUUCCUGUGAUUUUCUCAACUGUGGGAAAAUCAACUGCCUAAGUGGGGGACUGUGUUUAUGGUUUUCCCUGGUCUUUCUAAAAUCACUCUUUCCCCUU
ensembl:snRNA U1 U1 spliceosomal RNA